GACGAACGCUGGCGGCGUGCUUAACACAUGCAAGUCGAACGGAAAGGCCCUGCUUUUGUGGGGUGCUCGAGUGGCGAACGGGUGAGUAACACGUGAGUAACCUGCCCUUGACUUUGGGAUAACUUCAGGAAACUGGGGCUAAUACCGGAUAGGAGCUCCUGCUGCAUGGUGGGGGUUUGAAAGUUUCGGCGGUUGGGGAUGGACUCGCGGCUUAUCAGCUUGUUGGUGGGUAGUGGCUUACCAAGGCUUUGACGGGUAGCCGGCCUGAGAGGGUGACCGGCCACAUUGGGACUGAGAUACGGCCCAGACUCCUACGGGAGGCAGCAGUGGGGAAUAUUGCACAAUGGGCGGAAGCCUGAUGCAGCAACGCCGCGUGCGGGAUGACGGCCUUCGGGUUGUAAACCGCUUUCGCCUGUGACGAAGCGUGAGUGACGGUAAUGGGUAAAGAAGCACCGGCUAACUACGUG
rnacentral:rRNA from 1 species